GAUGAACGCUGGCGGCGUGCCUAAUACAUGCAAGUCGAGCGAACAGACGAGGAGCUUGCUCCUCUGAGGUUAGCGGCGGACGGGGGAGUAGCACGUGGAUAACCUACCUAUAAGACUGGGAUAACUUCGGGAAACCGGAGCGAAUACCGGGUAAUAUAUUGAACCGCAUGGUUCAAUAGUGAAAGACGGUUUUGCUGUCGCUUGUAGAUGGAUCCGCGCCGCAUUAGCUAGUUGGUAAGGUAACGGCUUACCAAGGCAACGAUGCGUAGCCGACCUGAGAGGGGGAUCGGCCACACUGGAACUGCGACACGGCCCAGAAUACUACGGGAGGCAGCAGCAGGGAAUCUUACGGCACGGGCGGAAGCAUGCCGGAGCAACGCCGCGUGAGUGAUGAAGGUCUUCGGCUCGUAAAGCUCUGUUAUUAGGGAAGAACAAAUGUGUAAGUAACUAUGCACGGCUUGACGGUACCUAAUCAGAAAGCCACGGCUAACUACGUG
rnacentral:rRNA from 1 species